ACCGUGAGGGAAAGGCGAAAAGAACCCCGGCGAGGGGAGUGAAAAAGAACCUGAAACCGUGUACGUACAAGCAGUGGGAGCACAGAGCAAUCUGUGUGACUGCGUACCUUUUGUAUAAUGGGUCAGCGACUUAUAUUCUGUAGCAAGGUUAACCGAAUAGGGGAGCCGAAGGGAAACCGAGUCUUAACUGGGCGUUAAGUUGCAGGGUAUAGACCCGAAACCCGGUGAUCUAGCCAUGGGCAGGUUGAAGGUUGGGUAACACUAACUGGAGGACCGAACCGACUAAUGUUGAAAAAUUAGCGGAUGACUUGUGGCUGGGGGUGAAAGGCCAAUCAAACCGGGAGAUAGCUGGUUCUCCCCGAAAGCUAUUUAGGUAGCGCCUCGUGAAUUCAUCUCCGGGGGUAGAGCACUGUUUCGGCAAGGGGGUCAUCCCGACUUACCAACCCGAUGCAAACUGCGAAUACCGGAGAAUGUUAUCACGGGAGACACACGGCGGGUGCUAACGUCCGUCGUGAAGAGGGAAACAACCCAGACCGCCAGCUAAGGUCCCAAAGUCAUGGUUAAGUGGGAAACGAUGUGGGAAGGCCCAGACAGCCAGGAUGUUGGCUUAGAAGCAGCCAUCAUUUAAAGAAAGCGUAAUAGCUCACUGGUCGAGUCGGCCUGCGCGGAAGAUGUAACGGGGCUAAACCAUGCACCGAAGCUGCGGCAGCGACGCUGAUGCGUUGUUGGGUAGGGGAGCGUUCUGUAAGCCUGUGAAGGUGUGCUGUGAGGCAUGCUGGAGGUAUCAGAAGUGCGAAUGCUGACAUAAGUAACGAUAAAGCGGGUGAAAAGCCCGCUCGCCGGAAGACCAAGGGUUCCUGUCCAACGUUAAUCGGGGCAGGGUGAGUCGACCCCUAAGGCGAGGCCGAAAGGCGUAGUCGAUGGGAAACAGGUUAAUAUUCCUGUACUUGGUGUUACUGCGAAGGGGGGACGGAGAAGGCUAUGUUGGCCGGGCGACGGUUGUCCCGGUUUAAGCGUGUAGGCUGGUUUUCCAGGCAAAUCCGGAAAACUAAGGCUGAGGCGUGAUGACGAGGCACUACGGUGCUGAAGCAACAAAUGCCCUGCUUCCAGGAAAAGCCUCUAAGCAUCAGGUAACAUCAAAUCGUACCCCAAACCGACACAGGUGGUCAGGUAGAGAAUACCAAGGCGCUUGAGAGAACUCGGGUGAAGGAACUAGGCAAAAUGGUGCCGUAACUUCGGGAGAAGGCACGCUGAUAUGUAGGUGAAGUCCCUCGCGGAUGGAGCUGAAAUCAGUCGAAGAUACCAGCUGGCUGCAACUGUUUAUUAAAAACACAGCACUGUGCAAACACGAAAGUGGACGUAUACGGUGUGACGCCUGCCCGGUGCCGGAAGGUUAAUUGAUGGGGUCAGCGCAAGCGAAGCUCUUGAUCGAAGCCCCGGUAAACGGCGGCCGUAACUAUAACGGUCCUAAGGUAGCGAAAUUCCUUGUCGGGUAAGUUCCGACCUGCACGAAUGGCGUAAUGAUGGCCAGGCUGUCUCCACCCGAGACUCAGUGAAAUUGAACUCGCUGUGAAGAUGCAGUGUACCCGCGGCAAGACGGAAAGACCCCGUGAACCUUUACUAUAGCUUGACACUGAACAUUGAGCCUUGAUGUGUAGGAUAGGUGGGAGGCUUUGAAGUGUGGACGCCAGUCUGCAUGGAGCCGACCUUGAAAUACCACCCUUUAAUGUUUGAUGUUCUAACGUUGACCCGUAAUCCGGGUUGCGGACAGUGUCUGGUGGGUAGUUUGACUGGGGCGGUCUCCUCCUAAAGAGUAACGGAGGAGCACGAAGGUUGGCUAAUCCUGGUCGGACAUCAGGAGGUUAGUGCAAUGGCAUAAGCCAGCUUGACUGCGAGCGUGACGGCGCGAGCAGGUGCGAAAGCAGGUCAUAGUGAUCCGGUGGUUCUGAAUGGAAGGGCCAUCGCUCAACGGAUAAAAGGUACUCCGGGGAUAACAGGCUGAUACCGCCCAAGAGUUCAUAUCGACGGCGGUGUUUGGCACCUCGAUGUCGGCUCAUCACAUCCUGGGGCUGAAGUAGGUCCCAAGGGUAUGGCUGUUCGCCAUUUAAAGUGGUACGCGAGCUGGGUUUAGAACGUCGUGAGACAGUUCGGUCCCUAUCUGCCGUGGGCGCUGGAGAACUGAGGGGGGCUGCUCCUAGUACGAGAGGACCGGAGUGGACGCAUCACUGGUGUUCGGGUUGUCAUGCCAAUGGCACUGCCCGGUAGCUAAAUGCGGAAGAGAUAAGUGCUGAAAGCAUCUAAGCACGAAACUUGCCCCGAGAUGAGUUCUCCCUGACUCCUUGAGAGUCCUGAAGGAACGUUGAAG
rnacentral:rRNA from 1 species